UUCUACAUGCGGAGCGGCGUUUUUAUUUGCAGGUUUCCCUUCAGUAGGAAAUUGCUGGACAGGCGGACCAGCGCACCGGAAUUGUACUGGCGAAGCCACAAGCAACUCAAAGAAUCUGUUUAAUUGUUGCACUUUGAACAAUCAUGCUCCUACAAAGGCCACAGCAGAAAAACAGCCUGAUGCCGAGUAUUUCUGUGCCACGAAGUAAUCAAGAGGCGAGUGCCUAAUGCGGACGAAAUCGAGUGCAUCGAGACUUAGAACGACAGAAAGCUGAGCUAGUUGAUAUGCAAUGGCAAGCCCUUCCGUGUGUUCCAAAGGUAAAAUUUAAGCUCGAAAUUAAAGAAGACAUUUCUAGUCAGAAACAAGCAAAAAUGGUGAAUGCAGAGUAUCAGAAGCCCAAGGUACAGAAAUUAUGAGAAGUGUCGAAUGAUUUUAAGGAAAGAAUGGUAUUUGAAGAUGCAAGAUUUUUUAGUGGAAAUCAAGCAAGUCAGUAUAGGUAGAAUACUCUGAGAAAUUAUGCGAGUAAUGGGAUAGCACACAAUGGGUCAGGAAAUGCGUUGUUUUUCUGAAAAACUAAAGCUGAUGACUGUCAUAUCAUGAGUCACUUUAGCAUCAUGAGACUGCUGUUUGAUAAAUUCAGAAACAAACCAAAAAGCAAGCCAUGCAAAAAUAAAAAAAAAACUAUUUAAUGAUGCUCUCUCCACACUGGGAUAAAUAAUAAGAAACGGAUCACGUCUAAUGUCAUAUCAGACACCUUGUGAAACACUAAAGGAAAAAUUCAGUUUCGAGCUAUGGCACUUGCCGCAUAGUAAUAGUUAGUUGUAAUAGUUAGUAAUAGUUAGUAAUAGUUAGUUAGUAAUAAUAGUUGCACCAAUAGUAAUAGUUACCACUGCAUCUAGAAAUUUAAAGCAUUCAUGCAGACAAGGAUGAUUCUUUAUAUUUUUGGCUACCACUUCAAAUGCCUCCACUAAGUGUUACAAUGCUGCACGCAGCCAUACUAAGGAUCUCACAGCAACACUUGCAGGUAAACAGCAAAAGCAGUCAAAGUGCUGGUGUAUUCUGGACACUGUCUUUGAAAACUUUUAGGCAAGAACAGUGCAAGAAACAGACAUAAGAACUGCAUUUAUUUCUAUAAUUCCCCAUUUGAAUGGCCUUUUUUUUUUCCUUCGACAAUGCCUUUGCCUAGCCACAGCAGCUCCCUCAUACAGACUCCGCAAGCCAAGAGGCCGUGGAGGCAAAUGCAGACAGCCAGCACACCUCGAACAGCCACCUUGACUGCGGGUGUGUCACCCUAGUCGCCAAGGAAACAUUUGAGGGAAAGCGACAGGCAAUGUAAACGAUACUCUUUCUCUCGGAUGACUCCUACGUUCGCCACGCCAGCACACUUGUGCACAAAGAUGCCGCGGAGGCACGUGCAGGUCAGAGGCAAGAAGCAGUGGCACUGGUGUCGACAUUCGCCCAAAUUCUUUUUCUUACACUGAGGCAGCCAGCACACCUCGAACAGCCACCUUAACUGCGGGUGUGUUAGUAGAUUCCUGUUGUACAUAUGCUCAUAAUAAACUUCAGUAAACUUGAAUAAACUUCAGUAAACUUGAA